UUUUAGUCCAAAAUCCAAAAGCCCUCUAUUUUGACUGUUGAAAGCUGAUUAUUUUGUCCUUUAGUGCAGGGGCAUUUGGUCAUUUUUAAAUACAAAAUGGCAGUAUUUGGUCAUUAUGAAUUUGGGGAAGAUGAAGAUAGUGUGCUUUUAUAGGGUCAAAAUUGAUUUAUAAUAACUCAUAAAAAUGACCAAAAUGCCCCUGCACUAAAGGAUAAAAUAAUGAGCUUUCAACAGUCAAAAUAAAGGGUUUUUGGAUUUUGGACUAAAAUGGCAACAAAAUGCAAGC
rnacentral:lncRNA from 1 species